rnacentral:rRNA from 1 species
UUGGGNANCUUCCCAUGGACGAAAUCUGCGGACAACGCCGCGUGAGUGAUGAAGGUUUUCGGAUCGUAAAGCUCUGUUGUUAGGGAAGAACAAGUGCAAGAGUAACUGCUUGCACCUUGACGGUACCUAACCAGUAAAGCCACGGCUAACUACGUGCCAGCAGCCGCCGGUAAUA